GUCAAUGUGAUGUCAAAACUAGUGCAGUUUCUCAUUUUCAGAUGUAAAGACUCUUCGAAUUCUGGGUAAUGGCAAAGUGAUGGAAGAUGACACUGUCAGCCUGAACUGCUCUGUUGAGAGUCACCCACCAUCAUCUGAUCCUGUAUGGAGUUUCAAUGGAACCACAGAUAUAGUCAUGAACCAAACAUCUGCUGAAUCUUUCACGAUAACCAAUGUGAGAAAGGAGCAUGCUGGGGUUUACGGCUGUAUGAGGACAUAUAGAAACAAGAUACUGAAUGCAUCCAUCACUGUCGUUGUCAUUCGUGAGACAAAAGAAAUCUUCUGUCCUGGAGGUGAAAACAUCCUAAAGCCACUGAAUGUCAACAUAGAAACUACAGAUAAAGAAGCUUUUCAACUGCAUGUGGACAUCAAAAUGAUAACAGCAUGUCUGACGGGAAGAUCCAUUUCAGCAGUCAUCUUCUCUGUGGUUUUGUGCUGUCAAGAGUCUUGGAAAAGCAAGGACAAGACAUAUGAAGUGGUGGCCACAAACACAGACACUGAAGUUGUACUGGAGGUUUUUCCAGGACAAAAUGUAAGAACGUACUGUGUGAAAGAGUGAAAUUAAUCAGUUGAAUUCAAGGAACCCCUUAUAUGCUUUUUUUUUUCAUUAUUAUGUUGGAUUUUUAUUAUUCUGAAAUUGUAAAAUAUUAUAUUUUAUUUUAAGUCAC
rnacentral:lncRNA from 1 species